UACGUAGGGGGCAAGCGUUAUCCGGAUUUACUGGGUGUAAAGGGAGCGUAGACGGCGCGGCAAGUCUGAAGUGAAAGCCCGGGGCUUAACCCCGGGACUGCUUUGGAAACUGCCAUGCUGGAGUGCUGGAGAGGUAAGUGGAAUUCCUAGUGUAGCGGUGAAAUGCGUAGAUAUUAGGAGGAACACCAGUGGCGAAGGCGGCUUACUGGACAGUAACUGACGUUGAGGUGCGAAAGCGUGGGUAGCAAACAGG
rnacentral:rRNA from 1 species